rnacentral:misc_RNA from 1 species
UCCGGUUUGUCACCGGCAGUCUCCCUAGAGUGCCCUUGCGUAGCAACUAGGGACAAGGGUUGCGCUCGUUGCGGGACUUAACCCAACAUCUCACGACACGAGCUGACGACAGCCAUGCAGCACCUGUGUUCCGAUUCCCUUUCGGGCACACCCACCUCUCAGCGGGCUUCCGGACAUGUCAAGGGUAGGUAAGGUGGGGAUGACGUGGCACGCAAUAACA